CAUCCCUCAUUAUUCACUGUGACUGCACAUUUUGUGUAGAAGUAAUGCAGCUUCAUUCUCCCCUCAUGGUCUGCUGUGGAAAUGAAGAACAGUCUCCUGUGAUGCAAGACCAUCUGCAAAAUCAGUCCAGAGGAAUUGCAUCUUCUGGAAAAGCAGAGACUGAAUCUGGAGCUCUGCUGGAAUCCACAUGAGGAAAGCAUCCCUUCACACAACAGCGUAUUUCAGCCCUUUUCUUCAGACUCUCUAAUUUGAAAGCACCCUUCUGUGCUCCCCUCUGCAGUGAACAGGGAUCUGAGAACUGCACUAAGGGUUGUCCUGCAGAAGAGGUGCACCCACUGGCACAGAUCCUUACUACUGCUUAUAUUUCCCAUUUCCUGGGCCUGAUCUGAAGGAUGCUGCUAUUUGCCUUUCCCUCCUUCAGUACCCCAUAUGGUUUUCCACAAAGCACAAGGAAUCAUCAAAUGUAGGAGAGAACAGGAAGUGGAGCACCAGGUUCUGAGUUUCCUGACCUUUAUGAGACUGGAAAAGCAGAAUAAGCUACAGAUUAUGCUGAAUAUAACUGAGUGGAGGAGCACAGAGUCCAGCUUUUGAGGAGAGGCAGUUCUGGAGACGAGAUGUCACCACUCUGUACAACAUCAGUACUGCAGCAGGAAGUCUCUUGCAACACAGAGAGAGCAAGUGUUAGGUUUUGACAUUUGUGUGACUAUAAGAUUUCACCUUACAGAAAUAGUGAUGCAUCUGUAGAGCUUGUCGAUGGUAAAUGCUUACAAAUGGGCAGAGUAUGAAACAAACAACAGAGAAAAGACACUAUCUCUUUUAUAAAUUCCAUCUCCAUUGCUGGAGUUCACUGGAGAGGAACAAGCACAUAGAACAUGAGCUAUUUAAUAAACCACCAUGGAGAUCUCCCCACCAGGGAACAGAGCAAGGAAAGAUACACACACAAAACAGAUAUUAGCCCUGUUCUUUGCUCACGGCAAAUAUCUGAUGCUGCCAUAAUGGACACACUAACAGGACAGAAACAGACAUCCUGCUGUGGAAAACAGCACAAGUCUCAAAACCAUCAGCAACCCAAAAGCGCCCCCAUGACCUUUUUGAGAGAUUAAAAAGAAAAAUACAUACAUAAGCAGCCUCUAUUUUCCCUGUGGAUGUCAUAGGCUUCCCUCUAGGAAACGAUGUGCGUUCUUCACCCACUCACAGAUGCUUCACCUCUAGCUGUCUCUGAACUGCUCCCCUGCAUUAGUGGAAUGGAACAAGGCACCAACUGAUGGGAGACUACUACCCAAGCUCAUUGCUAGUUUUGCUGACUCAAUUGUUUUGUCGCCUUCGUCAAUGCUGCAGGCCACUGGUAGUUACUGUUUUUGUGCGCCGCUAAUGCCAUGACUUGUUUCCUUUGUCCCCCUUCCUCUUUCCCUGAAGUUACCCGGAUGGACACACACCACUUCUACAUGCUUUGUAGCACUGAU